rnacentral:rRNA from 1 species
CACGUAGGAGCCAAGCGUUAUCCGAAUUCACUGGGCGUAAAGCGCGUGUAGGCGGCUCGGUAAGUUGGACGUGAAAUCUCCUGGCUCAACUGGGAGAGGACGUUCAAUACUGUCGGGCUAGAGGACGGCAGAGGGAGGUGGAAUUCCCGGUGUAGUGGUGAAAUGCGUAGAUAUCGGGAGGAACACCAGUGGCGAAGGCGGCCUUCUGGGCCGAACCUGACGCUCAGACGCGAAAGCUAGGGGAGCGAACGGG